AGUGAACGCUGGCGGUAGGCCUAACACAUGCAAGUCGAACGGCAGCACAGUAAGAGCUUGCUCUUACGGGUGGCGAGUGGCGGACUGGUGAGGAAUACAUCGGAAUCUACUUUUUCGUGGGGGAUAACGUAGGGAAACUUACGCUAAUACCGCAUACGACCUACGGGUGAAAGCAGGGGAUCUUCGGACCUUGCGCGAUUGAAUGAGCCGAUGUCGGAUUAGCUAGUUGGCGGGGUAAAGGCCCACCAAGGCGACGAUCCGUAGCUGGUCUGAGAGGAUGAUCAGCCACACUGGAACUGAGACACGGUCCAGACUCCUACGGGAGGCAGCAGUGGGGAAUAUUGGACAAUGGGCGCAAGCCUGAUCCAGCCAUACCGCGUGGGGGAAGAAGGCCUUCGGGUUGUAAAGUCCUUUUGUUGGGAAAGAAAAGCAGCAGGUUAAUACCCCGCUGUUCUGACGGUACCCAAAGAAUAAGCACCGGCUAACUUCGUG
rnacentral:rRNA from 1 species